rnacentral:lncRNA from 1 species
AUGAACCAGCUUGAUGGCUGGGAUAGAGAGACAGAAAGAAGUGAAAGAACCCACUUCAUUCAGGUUUUUUUCAUAGGAGCUGGGAACAAAAACCUCAGUCAUCUUCCAUCAAAAUUCCACUCAAGAAUACAAUGGAAAUUCAGCUACCAGGCACUGCAUCAUGUCCAUACACUGGCAUUAAGCUAGUUCUGAAGAUGAUGUACUGUGUAUUGUGUAAGCUUCCCAAAAUAUAUGUCAAGCUGUUUCUAAAUUUCCUUGGGGAUCCUUCUGUUAUCACUAGGUCAUUCAUUAGGUUGUAAGGAAAAGACUUGUAUAACAAAAUUGGACAUAAAGAAUAAGUGCUGAAAGUUGCAACAUCUAUUAAUGCUUUUGCUGAAAACUUUGUAGAAAGAGGUCUUUUUCUUUCUUUUUUUUUUUUUUUUCUUUUUGCAAAGCAAGAGAAGUUGUUCAGAUGGAAGGAAUGCUACUAAAAUAGACUUUGGGAAAUGCAGACUGAUUAAUGGACCAAGGCGCAAAAUCCUUGGGUCAAUACAGAGACCACUCAAGAAGAGGGCCACAAAUGGAAUUCUAGACAAGAUGGAAAAUCAAAUGAGAAAUUUCAAGAACAGUGUCUAUGAAAAAAAGUAGCUGAUAAAUCACAUUGUCUGUUUUUUAAUCUGACCAUAUUUCUGUUAGUCAGUUCAUUUCUAUUAAAGGCAUGGACCUCAGGGUAAAUCAGAAGCAGCUCCAUCCAUCUCACUAGAGUAACAUCAUUGUAAAAUUGGUCUGAAAUUUGAAUCAUAUUCAAUAUCUGCUGGGUAAGCAUUAAUCAGUUCUUACCACUAUCUUUUUUGUGCAAAACAACACCUCAUCUGCCAUUUCUGGUAACACCAUUGCUAAGGGACACUUCAGUUUUGCUUUGCUAAGCCUCUAACAGAAAUUCAGAAAAAGGUACUGGCAAAGGCAGGACAGAAAAAGUCUGGGUGAUGAAAGGGGCAGAACAUCCCUCGAGAAAUGUCCCUAUUCAGGUUUUUGAAAUAUCACUCUAAAUAAAUUAUGAUGUCAGAGUAGACA